UACGUAGGUGGCAAGCGUUGUCCGGAUUUACUGGGCGUAAAGAGCGCGCAGGCGGUCGUUCAAGUCGCGUGUGAAAGCCCCCGGCUCAACUGGGGAGGGUCACGCGAUACUGAUCGACUCGAAGGCAGGAGAGGGUAGUGGAAUUCCCGGUGUAGUGGUGAAAUGCGUAGAUAUCGGGAGGAACACCAGUGGCGAAGGCGACUACCUGGCCUGUUCUUGACGCUGAGGCACGAAAGCUAGGGGAGCAAACGGG
rnacentral:rRNA from 1 species